rnacentral:rRNA from 1 species
UACGUAGGGGGCAAGCGUUGUCCGGAUUUAUUGGGCGUAAAGAGCGUGUAGGCGGCCAGAUAGGUCGGUUGUGAAAACUGGAGGCUCAACCUCUAGACGUCGACCGAAACCAUUUGGCUAGAGUCCGGAAGAGGAGAGUGGAAUUCCUGGUGUAGCGGUGGAAUGCGCAGAUAUCAGGAAGAACACCCGUGGCGAAGGCGGCUCUCUGGGACGGUACUGACGCUGAGACGCGAAAGCGUGGGGAGCGAACAGG